rnacentral:misc_RNA from 1 species
GAACGCACAUUGCGCUUCCUGGUAUUCCGGGGAGCAUGCUCGUUUCAGAAUCAUUAAACACUCACAAGCCAAGUUGGGGUGACCUAACUUGGGGCGUGGAUAUGGAUGCUUUGCCAACGAAAGUUUGCAAUUCGUCUUAAAUAUAUUUGUGCUAACGUGUCUGCUUAAAGCAGCCGCCGGCUUCAGGUGCAACAGAAAUGGACACACUUGGACUGCUAGUUGCUUGUCAAGCUUACGCAAUGUACCCCUUUUGAACACAGACCGCUUGCUUCUUGCAAGAGGCUCUGACAAACUUGGUCUGAAAUCGAGCAAGAAAACCCGCUGAACUUAAG